rnacentral:rRNA from 1 species
UACGUAGGGGGCAAGCGUUGUCCGGAUUUAUUGGGCGUAAAGAGCGUGUAGGCGGCCGUACAGGUCAGCUGUGAAAACUCGAGGCUCAACCUCGAGACGUCGGUUGAAACCGUACGGCUAGAGUCCGGAAGAGGAGAGUGGAAUUCCCGGUGUAGCGGUGAAAUGCGCAGAUAUCGGGAGGAACACCAGUGGCGAAGGCGGUUGCCUGGAGCUUGCUGACGCUGAUGCGCGAAAGCGUGGGGAGCGAGUCCGG